CCCAGCGGCGCGUUAGCGAGGAAGUCCCUGGCGAUGGGUUUGACCCACAGGAUCACCACCACCACCGGAGAUAGGAAGCUCAUGUGCAGCAGAAUCCUGCAGGAGGCGUUCAAGUUAAUGCUCUGGUUUUCGACAUACUGUUGUCAAAUGCUUUAAACCACGCACUGGAUGAGGGGGCGUUCCGAGUUCAUCUGCACUGCAUCCAGUAUUCUGGACAUCUGUGUUGGUGAAUCUGUUGCAAUUUGUUCAUUGCAUUAUGGAGAAAGAAGCUGAGCAAGCAAAGAAGAAAGUUGUCGGUGCGAAGUGUCUAUUUUGCGAGGGAAGUCAGCAACAACACGUACACAGCCGGCGCUUCUUUGUUUACAUUCCCGAAAGAUGCAGUCAAGAUGGAAGAACUCGGACAACAGAGACUCUUACCAGGAGGACUUUGAUUUGGAUACACAGUUGCGAUAACGAUACAGUGCGAAGAUAACGGUGAGGACACACCAGAUGGCGCCGAUGUUUACCUCCUUGCUGGCGUCCACCACACUGCAGUAACACUCUGUGAAAAGGAAGACGCCGAUGGCGUAAACAGAAAAGUCCACCAGCCACUGGUACUCCAGGAAGAAACGCAACACUAAGGAAAAUAAGAAGAAAAACUGCUACUUGUGUUUGUUGAAGUGACAUUAUAGGCUACAGUGUAAAUAACAAGUGUUAGUCCAACCGAGGGCAUCGAUGGCGUUGACUGGUGCUUUUUCCAAGUGGAGGUCGAUGUCUUUUGGCACAGUGAGAGGUUUGUUUUCUCCAUUUUGUCUCCUGGUGAAAAAAACAUGACUUUUUAAAAGAUCCAUAUGCAUUUAAAAAAAGGUCCCAUGUUAUGCAAAAGUGACUUUUUAAUAAUGUUCUUUGAACAGUAAUGGCUUUAGAGCCUCUGACCCACCUAACUAGAUGAGCCUACCACUUAAGCUUUCUAAAAAAAAAAAAAGAAUACUAGUUUUCCUGAACAUAGGCCUGACAUUGGAAGCACAUUUAGGAAUUUUCCUAAAGUACCAGUAGAGUGGAAAAACAUGUUGUCUCUAUAUUGAAGCUAUUAUAAUAUAUAUCUGA